rnacentral:rRNA from 1 species
GGGUCAGUAGGUUGGUCGUGCCACCGGUACGUACUGGUCUCACUGAUUCCUCCUUCCUGAAGAACCGUAAUGCCAUUAAUUUGGUGUUGCGGGGAAACAGGACUGUUACUUUGAAAAAAUUAGAGUGUUUAAAGCAAGCUAACGCUUGAAUACAUUAGCAUGGAAUAAUGAAAUAGGACGAUCGAUCCUAUAUUGUUGGUCUCUAGGAUUGACGUA